UGUCGGGGUAACGGCCCAACAAGCCAGUAAUCGGUACGGGUUGUGGGAGCAAGAGCCCGGAGUUGGAUUCUGAGACACGAAUCCAGGCCCUACGGGGCGCAGCAGGCGCGAAAACUUUACAAUGCGGGCAACCGUGAUAAGGGAACCUCGAGUGCCUGUAUAUGCAGGCUGUCUGGGUGUCUAAAACACACCUAAAGAAAGGGCCGGGCAAGACCGGUGCCAGCCGCCGCGGUAAUACCGGCGGCUCGAGUGGUGGCCACUUUUAUUGGGCUUAAAGCGUUCGUAGCUGGGUUAUUAAGUCCCUUGGGAAAUCCGACGGCUUAACCGUCGGGCGUCUAAGGGAUACUGGCAAUCUUGGAACCGGGAGAGGUGAGGGGUACUUCGGGGGUAGGAGUGAAAUCCUGUAAUCCUCGAGGGACCACCUGUGGCGAAGGCGCCUCACCAGAACGGCUUCGACAGUGAGGGACGAAAGCUGGGGGAGCAAACCGGAUUAGAU
rnacentral:rRNA from 1 species